UGGGGAGCAUAAGACAGUGGGGACAGUGUCUGGGGAGGCAGUACGCUGGAGGGCUGGAGCAUGGAGAUGUCCGGCUGCCCGAGAUGCUGGAACCUGUUUUGCAGAAGCAAGAACUUCAAAAGGCAGUGGGCUGUGCUCUGAAGGAGGGCAAGUGCUAUGUUCAUGGUUGGUGACCCAGCAGUGACAGAGCCAGAAGGGGGUUCCUGAUCAUUCAUGGACCAGAGGAGCAAGAAACAAAGCUUUGGCAACCCACCCCAGGGCCUCCUGUUACAGAAAAGCCUGACAAUCAGAGUCGUGUUUGAGUCCACCUGGCUCCAAGCCUGGGCUGUUCAACGAGGGACACUGACUUAAAUGUCCCAGGUGUGGAGCCUGGGUCUGGUCCCAACCUUGCACCUAACUCCAGGUGACCUUGGCUGAUCCCUUCUCUGGGCCUCGGUUUCUCUGUCUGUAGAGGAGGCAGAGUAAAGAAGACCUUAAGGGCCCUUGGAGCUUGAACGGCUCCCUGAUUCUGUGUCAAUUUGGGGUUAGAAACCCCCUGACAUCCCAGAAUUCCCUUCAUGGCUACCGUCAGUGACAGAAGCACAAAUUCAGCUCAGUGUUUAUUGACUUGGCUUAUAACUUCAGCUCCCUUUCAGGGAAUGAGCUCAAGGAAGCUGUAUGCCAGCAGCCAUUGACGGAGCCUAAAUCAUUAGGGAGAAAAUUAGAGUUCGGGGAUGAAGGUGCUGUUUUGCCUCUUACUUCUGCCCUCUCCUCCUCGUUCCACUCACCAAGCAGCACGGACCCCCUCUGGCAGAUGCUGGAGUGGGGGAGGGCAGUCAUGUGUUUGCAACUUACAGGUAAGACAGUCACCUAUUUCCAGAAGACACUGGCUUCUGAUAACUGGAAGGAAAAUGAGACUUCUUUACAACCACAGUCAUCAACAAAAGGGUCUGAGG